rnacentral:lncRNA from 1 species
AUGAACAAUACAAUGAAAUUGGAGUAUCCAAAUCGGUUUGAAUUUGUGUCCAAGCAGAGAUAUAUACGCGUUCUGGGAUCCUUUUUGUUUAUGUUGAUGCGGCCAAAUUCGUGUUAACUUGGCCGAGUCCAUGUAUAUAUACGCUGCAACAUCAUCUAAUCGUCAUUUAAGGGUUGUGGAGUUAAACCUUGGAUCACUUCAUUCAUAAAUUCAUGUUAACUUGGCCGAGUCCAUGAUAACCGCGUCUCCUUAGAAUCCGACGACCAGGAUGACAAAUCCGGGAUUGAACAUUCAAGAAGCACAUGCUUUUUCCUCGGCUGGUGGCUUCUUAUUGGAUGUAUUUGUUGUUGAUGGCCUCAUGAGGUCUAAUCUUAGUUGUCUUGAGCAAUGUGUUUGAAUUUUGAAAACAUUGGUACAAUGAUCUGUUAUUGGCAACUUUUAGGAAAUUGAAAAGCUCAAAAAUGCAAUAGAGAAUGAUAUAUUGAAGGCUAGGUAGUUUCUUUCUAACAUAUUUUGGUGUUUUGUACGCUACAUUUAAUUUAUGUAAUAUACAUCUUCUAUGCAGGGGAGGCUCAUAGUGGUAAAAAUUCUUCAUCCACUAAAUGCAGAAGUAUUCCAACAUCAAGUGACCUUGUGCCCUCAAAUGAUUAUGUAAAAGUACCUACUUAUGGAACUGAGGUAUUGGAAAUUGAUGCCAAGCUGCUGAAAUUCUUAUAGAGAGAUGUUGAAUAAACGAUACUGGUAACAUCGUUUUAAUAUGAUAAAUAUUUAGAGAUUAUGAUUAUUUGUAU